AAAGUUUUCAAAUAUGAUGAAUGCAAUUGAAUGGAACGAACUCUUUUCCAAUGUUGAGGAAGUAGACGAAAUGGUCACUAUAUUCACUGAAAAAAUCCUCAGCAUUGCAAGAGAGAGCAUUCCAACCAAAAUAGUAACUAUACGUGGUAAUGACAAACACUGGUUUAACAGUAAUAUCAGAAAAGCAAUUCGAAUAAGGGAUAGAUUACGAAAAAAAUCAAUUAAAUCUAAAAAAGAAACGGAUAUUAAUAAAUAUAAGAAACAAAGGAAUAAAGUGAAUAAUAUGAAAAAAGAAGCGAAAGAAAAUUUUGAGAAAAACUUGGAAAAUAUAAUACUA
rnacentral:lncRNA from 1 species